CUGCUGCCUCCCGUAGGAGUCUGGUCCGUGUCUCAGUACCAGUGUGGGGGGCCUUCCUCUCAGAACCCCUACGCAUCGUCGCCUCGGUGGGCCGUUACCACGCCGACUAGCUAAUGCGCCGCAUGCCCAUCCGUGGCCGGGAUUGCUCCCUUUGGCGGCCUUGGGAUGUCCCUAGGCCGCGUUACGCGGUAUUAGACGGGGUUUCCCCCGCUUAUCCCCCUGCCACGGGCAGGUUGCAUACGUGUUACUCACCCGUGCGCCGGUCGCCGG
rnacentral:rRNA from 1 species